GUGGUUGAUAUUCUCGAAAACCUGACCCUAGGCAACAGUGACUAAGGUCUGGUUUCAGUGACGGACUCUUUUGUCAACUCUGAUGAGGACAAAAAAUAAUAUUCAGGAGUGGGUCCUCUUCAGACACUACCCCAACAAAUCAUGAGGCAGACAUGCCAGAACGUCGCGAUUCGAAACCAAAGUGGUGGUUUUAGUGAAGGUUACAGUCUCUACAUCACUAUGCUUCCUGCUGACUGGACUCUUCAGAGAUGAGUAUGAACCUGGACCGCGUCCCAAAUGGCAUCCAAUCUCUACAUAGUGCACUACUUUUGUCAUAUGCGCUGAAUACAACAGAUUUCAUUAUGAAGGCACCGGUGGUUCUGCAUUUGUAUCCAUCUGGAAUCCAGGAGAUGAAAUGGAGCAGGAAGUUCCUCAGUGUCCAAAUCACGAAGGACUUAAAAUGGACCACUCACACAUGCACAGUCGGGAAGAAGGCGCAACCUCUAUAUCAGGCGGAGUGAAAGGAAGGCCCGGACUCCAGCCACCCAAUCGAUAGAUUGUUCUUUCUGCUUCCGCACGGCACGCGGUAGCAGUGCAACAAGUCUGACACCAACAGGCUCCUGAACAACUUCUAUCCUUAAUCCAUAAGACCGCGCUAAAUAGCUCGCACAAUUGCUACACAGACUGAGUUUACCCUUGUAUUUUAUUUUAAUCUCUAUGCACACUCACAGGACUCUACACGCUCACGCACACUGACACUCCUACACACACAUAACAUGCACACACAUUUAUACUGACUCUACACACGCACACACACUCACAUACAAUCAGAAUUUAUGCUGCUGCUACUCUUUUUAUCAUAUACUGUCACGUCCUGACCAUAGUAAGAUGUGACUUUCUAUGGUAGAGUAGGUCAGGGCGUGACAGGGGGUGUUUUGUGUUUUUCUAUUUUUUCUAUUUCUGUGUUGUUGUUUUUUUGGGUUGAUCUCCAAUUGGAGGCAGCUGGUCCUCGUUACCUCUGAUUGGAGAUCAUAUUUAAGUAGGGGUUUUUCUUCCUGGGUUUUGUGGGUGAUUAUAUUUUGAGUAGUGUUUGUUUCUCUCUGCGUCACGGUUUGUUGUUUUGUCAAGUCAGUUAUUUAUGUUUUUGCAAAGUUUCACGGAUUUAAUAAAAUGUGGAACUACAACCACGCUGCACUUUGGUCCGCUCCUUUUGACAGCCGUGACACAAUCACCCACCACAAAAGGACCAAGCAGCGUGCCCAGGAGGAGCAGGGAUCCUGGGCUCGGGAGAAGAGAGAAUGGAGGACGUCCUGGACCUGGGAGGAGGUAAUGGCAGGGGACAAGACCCUGCCAUGGAAGUAGGUGGAAACGGCGCAAGCGGAACGGCGAUGCUAUGAGGAGCUAGCCCAACGACGGAAGCCCGAG
rnacentral:lncRNA from 1 species